UAACAAUACAGGGCUAAUGUCUUGUAAUUGGAAUGAUGGUGACCCAAACCCUCACCAGAGUAGCAAUUGGAGGGCAAGUCUGGUGCCAGCAGCCGCGGUAAUUCCAGCUCCAAUAGCGUAUAUUAAACUUGUUGCAGUUAAAAAGCUCGUAGUUGAAUUUUAGCGUGUUCGAGUUUGCCAUUCGUUUGGCUUUUUCGAGUUCGCUUUUGGGUUUUCCCUUUUUACUUUGAGAAAAUUAGAGUGUUUCAAGCAGACUUUUGUCUUGAAUACUUCAGCAUGGAAUAAUAGAGUAGGACUU
rnacentral:rRNA from 1 species